GAUGAACGCUGACAGAAUGCUUAACACAUGCAAGUCAACUUGAACUUCGGUUUGGGUGGCGGACGGGUGAGUAACGCGUACCGAACUUGCCUCACAGUUAGGGACAACAUUUGGAAACGAAUGCUAAUACCUGAUAUUAUGAUUUUAGGGCAUCCUAGAAUUAUGAAAGCUAUAUGCGCUGUGAGAGAGCUUUGCGUCCCAUUAGCUAGUUGGAGAGGUAACGGCUCACCAAGGCGAUGAUGGGUAGCCGGCCUGAGAGGUUGAACGGCCACAAGGGGACUGAGACCCGGCCCUUACUCCUACGGGAGGCAGCAGUGGUGAAUAUUGGACAAUGGACCAAGAGUCUGAUCCAGCAAUUCUGUGUGCACGAUGAAGUUUUUCGGAAUGUAAAGUGCUUUCAGUUGGGAAGAAAAAAAUGACGGUACCAACAGAAGAAGUGAUGGCUAAAUACGUG
rnacentral:rRNA from 1 species